AUUGAACGCUGGCGGCAUGCCUUACACAUGCAAGUCGAACGGCAGCACGGGAGCAAUCCUGGUGGCGAGUGGCGAACGGGUGAGUAAUAUAUCGGAACGUGCCCAGUAGUGGGGGAUAGCCCGGCGAAAGCCGGAUUAAUACCGCAUGAGACCUGAGGGUGAAAGCGGGGGAUCGCAAGACCUCGCGCUAUUGGAGCGGCCGAUAUCAGAUUAGCUAGUUGGUGGGGUAAAGGCCUACCAAGGCAACGAUCUGUAGUUGGUCUGAGAGGACGACCAGCCACACUGGGACUGAGACACGGCCCAGACUCCUACGGGAGGCAGCAGUGGGGAAUUUUGGACAAUGGGCGCAAGCCUGAUCCAGCAAUGCCGCGUGCAGGAAGAAGGCCUUCGGGUUGUAAACUGCUUUUGUCAGGGAAGAAAUCCUCUGGGUUAAUACCUCGGGGGGAUGACGGUACCUGAAGAAUAAGCACCGGCUAACUACGUG
rnacentral:rRNA from 1 species